rnacentral:rRNA from 1 species
ACACGCAUGACACACUGCAUAUCAAUAAGCGGAGGAAAAGAAACUAACAAGGAUUCCCCUUAGUAACGGCGAGUGAAGCGGGAAGAGCUCAAAUUCGAAAUCUUCAAGGUUCUACCUUGACGAGUUGUAGUUUAUAGAAGUGUUUUCUGUUAGUAGAGUGGCAAAAGUUCUUUGGAAUAGGACAUCAUAGAGGGUGAGAAUCCCGUAUUUGACUAUUCUUUCUAGCUUUGUGAUACACUUUCAAAGAGUCGGAUUGUUUGGGAAUGCAGUCCAAAAUGGGUGGUAAAUUUCAUCUAAAGCUAAAUAUUGGCGAGAGACCGAUAGCGAACAAGUACCGUGAGGGAAAGAUGAAAAGAACUUUGAAAAGAGAGUUAAACAGUACGUGAAAUUGUCAAAAGGGAAGCGUUUGACACCAGUGUUGUUUAGUUGAAAAUCAAUUCAAUAGUUUUUGAUUCUAAGUAGUAUUGACUUCAUCAGCUUGCUGCUUUCUUCUCAGAAAUUAUUGAAUGCACUUUUCAGUUAACAAGUCAACAUCAAUUUCUUUUGUUGUAAAAGGGUAAGAGGAAGGUGGCUUGCGCUUCGGCUCAAGUGUUUAUAGCCUUUUAUCUCUGCAAUCGGAGAGAUUGAGGUCUGCAGCGUAGAUCCUUCGGGGUUAGAUACAUUGGUGCUAAGCUAUAGCCUUGUAUAGACAACUUGUUGACUAUGCUCAGUCAUGUAGCUUACUCGCUGAUGCUAUUUUACCUACGCUUAGGAUGUUGAGCGCAUGUCUCUCUCU